rnacentral:piRNA from 1 species
UGUGUGCACACGUGCAUUUCUUCAUGUGUU